GAGGAUAUGAUGAUCCUUUCCCCAGAUGAUUGGCAAUGAACAUGCUCAGCGCUAUUUCUCUUCGGAGAAACCAAGCCAGUAUUCUGAUCCUC
rfam:Triticum aestivum genome assembly, contig: Triticum_aestivum_CS42_TGACv1_scaffold_226331_3B